UCAUCUUUUCCUCUAGAGGAAAGAUCACCUUGUACCUGCCAGGAUCCUAUUAUCCCUGGCUUCCCCAGAAUCUUGUUAGUCUCUCUUUCUAGCCUCAGAGGUGGGACAGAGUUGGGACUAAAUGUGAGCAGGCAUUAGGUGAAGACAGUACAAUCAGUACCCAACCCACCAGUACCUCCCAGAGCCAGCUUUUCCCAAGACUUCACAGCUCCUGUGGGCUGUUAAAAUCCAGGUCAGAGGGUUUAUAAUGUGCCUGGCCCCCUGCCAGUCAGCUGCUGGCAUAAUGUGGGCCAAGGGAUCUGCUGAGUAAUCUCAACUUCUGCUGUUUCAUUCAUCUGCAAACCGAAGGCUGCCUUUCUCUGUGUCUCCAAGGUUCACUGGACAGAAAUGCCUGAAACUUAUGUUUAUGGAGGGACUUCUCAUAGGAUUGAGGAUGAAGACUCAAAUUCUCUGACAGGAUCUUCAAAGCCCUACAUGACCUCAGCCCUCAGAUCCUUCUGUUCUUUAGAAGUUUCUGUGACUAUUUCUUCUGCUAUACUUAACAAAGAGAAUGCCCCAGCAGCAUCCAAUAAAAGCAUCAUUGUUGAGGCAAUGAUUCCUUUUUUCAACCACAUUUACAAAGUCUCCCAGGACAACAUCAUCACCAACUUCUGAGGAGCUUUGCAGAAUUUUCUCACUUUCAAAGAUCCUUCAGCACCUGCAUUCUUAGCAGCAGUCAUUGCAGGAAUUUUGGGUUUUCUUUUAAUAAUUUCUAGACUUUUAAAAAAAAAAUCUUCACGUGCUGGAGUUAAUGAGUCUAAGGCUGAAAUGCACCAGGAUAGGACAAAACUGCCUCUCAGCAGCAUUCAGAGCAUCUGUAACUCUCUCUUUUCAUUUAUGUCCCACCAACCCUCAGCACAACGACUCUUCUUAAACACAAGAGGUUCAACUCCCCCAAUCAGUUGUUCUUUUAGCCUUGAAGGUAUACCACUGAAGACUAGUGCAUAUGUGAUAUUGUCAGAGCAGGAACCUUAGAAACAGUAAGAUCAGGUGGUAUUUAGGAACAGCUAAUGCCCCCUUGAGCUCUGUUAGGUAUGUGACCAGUGUGACCUACAAAUCCAUCUCCAACUUCAGUCACAUGCGUUUCAUUUUUCCUGUCACAUUGGGGUUUAAUCACACCUGUGUUUAUCUUAAGGCAAAUUCAGCUAUGCACGCUGAGCCAGAAAGGGGAACAGUAUAAAAAAAAAAAAAAAAAA